AGAACAAUCAAUUAAAUUAAUAUUUAAUGGCCAGAUUGAUUAUAUAGAAAGAGAAAGCUAGUAAGGGAGAACCUUUCAGUUGUAGUAGAGCUCGAGACCCAUUCCAUCGUGGAUCUCAUAGUCCCUAAGAGUGAUAUGAUCCUUGUACACGGUAUACCACUUCUGUAUCCUAAUCUUCUCGGCUCUGGUGCCGGUCUGCGCCGCCACCAGUUUCUUCAGGUCGCCGAUAGUAUCAUCCUCAUUACACUUGACUCUCCCCUUCUCCCCCAGCCGAUCGUUCAACACCACCU
rnacentral:misc_RNA from 1 species